rnacentral:lncRNA from 1 species
CACCCGUCCUGACGCGCGCUCCAUCUACGCCGCCAGCGGGGCGCGGGGCCGGGGGGGUGAGUUAUUUUCAGGCCUUUGAAGCCGCGUGCCGGAGGCCCCGAGGUCUUGGGCCGUGGGCGACCUGGGCCACCGCGCGGGCCGGGCGCUUAGGGAGGGCAGCGCGUCCUGCGCCCAGAACCGGCUCGCCCCAGCUAGACGAGGCUGACUCGGUCCUCCCAGGGGGCCGGCCGCAGGCGGGUCCCGGCGUCCAGACGCAAGCUCGCUCCCCAGGGUCUCUGCUCCCCCCCGGUGGCCCGGCCCCACCACCGUUUCCUUUCUCUGAACCCGAAGCCUCCUCGCUGAGCUCCACCCCUGUCCUUUUUUAUUUUUCAUUUUGAGACAGGGUCUCGCAAAGACGAAGUUGCCAGGCUGAGGGUCGGGGAUGUAGCUCAGUGGUUCCACCGCCUGCCUCGCCAGCGCAAGGUCCCGAGUUCGAUCCCCGGUACCAAAAAAAAAAUUGCCAGGCGGGGCUUAAACUUGCGAUCCUACUGCCUCAGCCUCCCAGAGUGCUGGCAUCAAGGCGGCGCCCCCACCCCCAGUUCCGCGUUUUGGAUGAAAAUUUCUGCCCGUCUGUUGUUUUUGAGGACGUCUGUCUGCAAGACUGGGUUUGUCUGUGUGCAGUCCUGGAUUCUGGGCCAGAGCAGCGCCCACCGCCUGGGUCUUGCUGAGCAGCGCAGUCUGGGAGUCGCUCAGCGAACAAGCCGGGCGCAGGCUCGACCUGGGCUGGGUCAGCUGAUCCCGGGCGCUGUCCAGCACGCUGACCUCACCGAGGGGACAGACAGCAGGGCUAAAGGACAGAAGUCCCAAGUUCGACACAUGUGCCCCAGGCCCCGAGCUGUGUGGUGUUCUCACGUGUUCUUGCUGCAUAUUUGCUGCUCUGCAUCCUCUGGCUGCGUCUCCUCAUCUCCUCCCACCUGGGCCCUGUAAUGCUGCUAACCUGUUGAUUCUGUGUCUCUGGAUGUCUGACAUUUUUUGGACUCCCAUCCCUUCCAGUUGGCCCUGGAAGCUCAGCUGCAACUCACAGAGGCCUUGCUGGCGCUGAGACUGCCCUUGGCUCCAGCCCAUGAUUUCUCCCAGAGAAAUGAAACCAAAACCGUGCUAGGCCUUAGCUGCUCCUUCAUGACAUUAGAGACAGGUUGUGCAUGGUGAGGACUUAUGUGCAUAUUGAAAAGGGGGGAGACCAUAACUGGAUCAGAACACACCAGAGGACAAGGGGC